CACGCAGGCUGAAUUAUAAGUCGGUAGUAAAAGGCGGGGGCUCAACUUCCGUAUAUCUAUCGAUACUGUAAAUCUAGAGUAUGUGAGAGGGAAGCGGAGUUCCCGGUGUAGCGGUGAAAUGCGUAGAUAUCGGGAGGAACACCAGUGGCGAAGGCGGCUUCCUGGCACAAUACUGACGCUCAUGUGCGAAAGCUAGGGCAGCGAACG
rnacentral:rRNA from 1 species